rnacentral:rRNA from 1 species
CGAGUCGCAAGACCGCGAGGUUUGGCAAAUCUCUUAAAGCCGUUCUCAGUUCGGAUUGUAGGCUGCAACUCGCCUACAUGAAGUCGGAAUCGCUAGUAAUCGCGGAUCAGCAUGCCGCGGUGAAUACGUUCCCGGGCCUUGUACACACCGCCCGUCACACCAUGAGAGUUUGUAACACCCAAAGCCGGUGGGGUAACCUUUUGGAGCCAGCCGUCUAAGGUGGGACAGAUGAUUGGGGUGAAGUCGUAACAAGGUACC